rnacentral:rRNA from 1 species
CAGAGUUUGAUCCUGGCUCAGGAUGAACGCUGGCGGCGUGCUUAACACAUGCAAGUCGAACGAUUAAAGCCCUCUUCGGAGGGUGUAUAAAGUGGCGAACGGGUGAGUAACACGUGGGGAACCUACCCCCCUCCCUGGGAUAACUCCGGGAGACCGGAGCUAAUACCGGUUACUCCGUGCGGAUCGCAUGGUCCGCUCGGGAAAGUCACGGCGGAGAGGGAUGGCCCCGCGGCCCAUUAGCUUGUUGGUGAGGUAACGGCUCACCAAGGCGACGAUGGGUAGCCGAGCUGAGAGGCUGAUCGGCCACACUGGGACUGAGACACGGCCCAGACUCCUACGGGAGGCAGCAGUGGGGAAUUUUGCGCAAUGGCGAAAGCCUGACGCAGCAACGCCGCGUGCGGGAUGAAGGCCCUCGGGUUGUAAACCGCUUUCAGCAGGGACGAACAUGACGGUACCUGCAGAAGAAGCCCCGGCUAACUACGUGCCAGCAGCCGCGGUAAUACGUAGGGGGCAAGCGUUAUCCGGAUUCAUUGGGCGUAAAGCGCGCGUAGGCGGCUUGUUAAGUCAGAUGUGAAAACCGGGGGCUCAACCCGCGGCCUGCAUCUGAAACUGGCAGGCUUGAGUCUGGUAGAGGAAAGUGGAAUUCCUGGUGUAGCGGUGAAAUGCGCAGAUAUCAGGAGGAGCACCAGUGGCGAAGGCGGCUUUCUGGGCCACGACUGACGCUGAGGCGCGAAAGCUAGGGGAGCGAACAGGAUUAGAUACCCUGGUAGUCCUAGC